GACGAACGCUGGCGGCGUGCUUAACACAUGCAAGUCGAACGGAAAGGCCCUGCUUUUGUGGGGUGCUCGAGUGGCGAACGGGUGAGUAACACGUGAGUAACCUGCCCUUGACUUUGGGAUAACUUCAGGAAACUGGGGCUAAUACCGGAUAGGAGCUCCUGCUGCAUGGUGGGGGUUGGAAAGUUUCGGCGGUUGUGGAUGGACUCGCGGCUUAUCAGCUUGUUGGUGGGGUAGUGGCUUACCAAGGCUUUGACGGGUGGCCGGCCUGAGAGGGUGACCGGCCACAUUGGGACUGAGAUAAGGCCCAGACUCCUACGGGAGGCAGCAGUGGGGAAUAUUGCACAAUGGGCGGAAGCCUGAUGCAGCAACGCCGCGUGCGGGAUGACGGCCUUCGGGUUGUAAACCGCUUUCGCCUGUGACGAAGCGUGAGUGACGGUAAUGGGUAAAGAAGCACCGGCUAACUACGUG
rnacentral:rRNA from 1 species